rnacentral:rRNA from 1 species
UACGAAGGGGGCAAGCGUUGUUCGGAAUUACUGGGCGUAAAGGGCGCGUAGGCGGCUUACCAAGUCAGGCGUGAAAUUCCCGGGCUCAACCUGGGGGCUGCGCUUGAUACUGGUGAGCUUGAAUGCGGGAGAGGAUAGUGGAAUUCCCAGUGUAGAGGUGAAAUUCGUAGAUAUUGGGAAGAACACCGGUGGCGAAGGCGGCUCUCUGGACCGACACUGACGCUGAGGCGCGAAAGCGUGGGGAGCAAACAGG